AUACUUUUCCAAGUCUGGGAUCAGGUCAUACUGCUUACCUCCCCUUUCUGCAUAGCACUCCUUGGACAGGUGGCCUGUAGGGGGCGCACAGAAAACUUGUUGUCAUGGUGACAAGGGACAAGAUAUCGAAGAUGGGACAUUGUACGGCAGAAACAUAAAGGCUGGAAAGCACUGUGAAUGUUGUGCUAUUUAUAGCCACUGGGAGAUUGGCUCCUGCCUUGACAUCAACAAUCUGAAGCAUCAUCCUACCCCGAGUUCCACAUCUUGCA